rnacentral:rRNA from 1 species
CCUACGGGAGGCAGCAGUGGGGAAUAUUGCACAAUGGGGGGAACCCUGAUGCAGCGACGCCGCGUGAGUGAAGAAGUAUUUCGGUACGUAAAGCUCUAUCAGCAGGGAAGAAAAAAGGACGGUACCUGAGUAAGAAGCCCCGGCUAACUACGUGCCAGCAGCCGCGGUAAUACGUAGGGGGCAAGCGUUAUCCGGAAUUACUGGGUGUAAAGGGAGCGUAGACGGCAAUGCAAGUCCGGAGUGGAAUGCGGCAGCUCAACUGCCGAACUGCUCUGGAAACUGUAUGGCUGGAGUGCAGGAGGGGUAAGCGGAAUUCCUGGUGUAGCGGUGAAAGGCGUAGAUAUCAGGAGGAACACCGGUGGCGAAGGCGGCUUACUGGACCGUAACUGACGUUGAGGCUCGAAAGCGUGGGGAGCAAACAGGAUUAGAUACCCGUGUAGUC